GCAGCCUACAGUGAAAGACUUGAAGAAAUAUAGGCAAUGUAAGUACGAUUAAUUAAGUGAUUUUGCUGCUUGUGGCGUUUCCUCGAAGUAGCUGGUUACCUCCAAAUGGGACGACAGUCAUGGAUGUUGAGAAUGGCCCACGUCGCAGACUCGCGAGGACGGGCGGCCUCGGAUGUUCGCUAGCGGCCUACGACAGCUACAGGCUUUCUGCCCAUGCCUGUAGAAGGGGACUUUGAGAUGUCAUGCUGAAGUUUUCUGGAGAUUAUCUGGUUUCAUUUUUGGGAAGCAGUCCACAUGGAAAAAUGAUGCAGCCAAACUAAAGAUACGCUCGAUUGGUUCUUUCUAACGUCCCUGUUAAAGAAGCAGGAAAAAAUAGAAUAAUAAGAGAUGGAAAAUGUCAAAUUUACUUGGUCUACAACAAAGAAACCCUUUUAUUUUAUUGCUGUUCUUCAUAUUCAAGUUCACAGACCAGUCCUUCAACAAUGAGA
rnacentral:lncRNA from 1 species